GCCCUGGUAGCUCAAUUGGAUAGAGCGCCUGCCUUCUAAGCAGGAUGUUGUGGGUUCGAAUCCCGCCCGGGGUGCCA
rnacentral:tRNA from 1 species